GAUGAACGCUGGCGGCGGGCUUAACACAUGCAAGUCGAACGGUAACGGCGUAUCUUGCUGUGCUGGAGCAGUGGCGAACGGGGGCGUAACACGUGAGCAAUCUGCCCCUGACUCUGGGGUGAGCUCUGGAAACGGCGUCUACUACUGGAUACGAUCUGCCCAUGCAUCUUCAGCAGCUGAACAUCACUGUUGUCAUGGAUGAACUCGCGGCUUAUCAGCUUGUUGGUUAGGUAGCGGCUAACCAAGGCUUAGACGGGUAGCCGGCAUGAGAGGGUUACCGGACACCAUGGGACUGAGAGACGGACCAGACUCGUAUGGGAGGCAGAAGUGGGGAGUAUUGCACAAUGGGAGCAAGCCUGAUGAAGAAACGCCGCGUGAGGGAAGACGGCCUGCGGGUUGUAAAACGCAUCUGGCUGAGACGAAGCGAGAGUGACGGUACCUGAAGAAAAAGCACCGGCUAACUACGUG
rnacentral:rRNA from 1 species